GAUGAACGCUGGCGGCGUGCCUAAUACAUGCAAGUCGAGCGAACGGACGAGAAGCUUGCUUUUCUGAUGUUAGCGGCGGACGGGUGAGUAACACGUGGAUAACCUACCUAUAAGACUGGGAUAACUUCGGGAAACCGGAGCUAAUACCGGAUAAUAUUUUGAACCGCAUGGUUCAAAAGUGAAAGACGGUCUUGCUGUCACUUAUAGAUGGAUCCGCGCUGCAUUAGCUAGUUGGUAAGGUAACGGCUUACCAAGGCAACGAUGCAUAGCCGACCUGAGAGGGUGAUCGGCCACACUGGAACUGAGACACGGUCCAGACUCCUACGGGAGGCAGCAGUAGGGAAUCUUCCGCAAUGGGCGAAAGCCUGACGGAGCAACGCCGCGUGAGUGAUGAAGGUCUUCGGAUCGUAAAACUCUGUUAUUAGGGAAGAACAUAUGUGUAAGUAACUGUGCACAUCUUGACGGUACCUAAUCAGAAAGCCACGGCUAACUACGUGCCAGCAGCCGCGGUAAUACGUAGGUGGCAAGCGUUAUCCGGAAUUAUUGGGCGUAAAGCGCGCGUAGGCGGUUUUUUAAGUCUGAUGUGAAAGCCCACAGCUCAACCGUGGAGGGUCAUUGGAAACUGGAAAACUUGAGUGCAGAAGAGGAACGUGGAAUUCCAUGUGUAGCGGUGAAAUGCGCAGAGAUGUGGAGGAACACCAGUGGCGAAGGCGACUUUCUGGUCUGUAACUGACGCUGAUGUGCGAAAGCGUGGGGAUCAAACAGGAUUAGAUACCCUGGUAGUCCACGCCGUAAACGAUGAGUGCUAAGUGUUAGGGGGUUUCCGCCCCUUAGUGCUGCAGCUAACGCAUUAAGCACUCCGCCUGGGGAGUACGACCGCAAGGUUGAAACUCAAAGGAAUUGACGGGGGCCCGCACAAGCGGUGGAGCAUGUGGUUUAAUUCGAAGCAACGCGAAGAACCUUACCAAAUCUUGACAUCCUUUGACAACUCUAGAGAUAGAGCCUUCCCCUUCGGGGGACAAAGUGACAGGUGGUGCAUGGUUGUCGUCAGCUCGUGUCGUGAGAUGUUGGGUUAAGUCCCGCAACGAGCGCAACCCUUAAGCUUAGUUGCCAUCAUUAAGUUGGGCACUCUAAGUUGACUGCCGGUGACAAACCGGAGGAAGGUGGGGAUGACGUCAAAUCAUCAUGCCCCUUAUGAUUUGGGCUACACACGUGCUACAAUGGACAAUACAAAGGGCAGCGAAACCGCGAGGUCAAGCAAAUCCCAUAAAGUUGUUCUCAGUUCGGAUUGUAGUCUGCAACUCGACUACAUGAAGCUGGAAUCGCUAGUAAUCGUAGAUCAGCAUGCUACGGUGAAUACGUUCCCGGGUCU
rnacentral:rRNA from 1 species